AGUUACCAACUGUUGGAACGAAUGCAGAUAACCAUACUAAACGAAGCCAAAGACCUGUAGAAGUAAACAUUCCAGCCUCGUCAAACGCCCCAAUGGAACAAACAGCGGCUAGAGACGACAUGCCCUUUGUGUCAACACAUUCCGGUGGACCGGAAAUGACCAGGGGUCAAAAUCACGUCGACCCCUUUACUGACAGCUUGGUACGAAGAAUAUCUGGAAAGUUCUCUACUAGCGUGGAAAAGAUAGAAUUAUCACAACUGACAUGUGAUCUAAUCCGUGAGAACCAAUAUUUGCGAUACCAAAACUAUUGUAUAAAUUGUAGGGACGUAUCUCGAGAUGUAUUAUUCUUAAGCUGCCCGUCUCCGCAUCUAGCUCUUUGUCAUAACUGUUUUAUGUACUUUGACAGAUGCCCCCUCUGUGAUACAAUAGUUAAAGCUCUGAUGGAUGUCGAAAGAUGAAACAUUAUUUCAUUAUCAGUUAUGUAAAUGUAAUACAGGUUGUGUUCACUAAAUAAGUCUCUUCCAUAUUUGUAUUAUUAGAAAAAAAAGAGUCAACAAGAAGUCGGAUUUUUUGGGGUUUUUUUUUUAGAGUUCGCUUACAGUUGAUAUUGGUAUUUGGAUAUCUUAAAUUUAAAUUGUCCGAUAAAGAGAAUUCUUUCAUAGCAACUCAUUAAACAAAAUGUCUUCAUGGAAACAGUCUGUGCAAGACAUCCAUUUUGUGUUCAGUGCAUAUAACAAUUACAGAUGACACGUGUGUCUUUUAAAAUGGGCUUGGGCCAUAAUUAGUGCAAUGGUUAAUAUUUAUAUAUAUCGCACGGUGUCAUAUUAAGUAAAAAUCUACCUCUAAGUUUUUUUAAGGAUUUUUUAAUUUAAACAAUUUAUUAGUGACGAGUCUUGGAUAUUUUUAUUUUACCAGGUUGUCGAUAUUUUGAUAACUAAGUUGUUUGUUUAGAAAAUCCACUUUUUGUCUUCAGGUUAUAGGUUGCUGGUCAAGAGUUGUCCAGUUUUAGCAAAUUGAGAAAUAUUAUUGUUUACUUUAACAAUAUCUUCCAUACUAUUGUUAAUAUUUUUUGUUUUAAGUAUAGAGCAAACAAUACAAUUUUAAGACAUGGUACACAAUUUAAUUUGAACUUAUAGAUGAAGUAUUCAAUCAAUAAAUAUACAACUUUUUCUAUACAAUCAUUUGCAGAAUACGAUUUUACAACUUUCUUCAAUCUGUUUCAUACUUGUAAUGUUUGUGAAUAUGACUUAAAUAGGAGCUCUAUAGUUACUCUUUGGUCAUUAAUUAUUGUAGAAACGAGUUUGUUACAGAAUUGUGUUGAUUUAUCUCAAGCUGAAAAUCUAUCAACUUUCUUUCUCUAGUUCUUUGCAAGUUUGUACGACAAAUCCACACAUUUUAGGCGAACAAUCCAUAAAAAGUUAGUACUAUGAAAGUAACUAGUGGUACAAACGUGUUGACCUAAGAUUUUUGCAAUAUAUUCUUAUAAAUAACCAAAACCAAACAAAUAUUGUGCAGACUGUAGUAAACCGUGGCAACGCUUUUGAAAUAAUGCAGAAAAUUUACAGUCUUCUUGCAUUUUUUACUAAUAUCUACAUGUAACUUUUAUUCUCACCCACUUUAUCAUUUUCCAGUGUCAUAUACACAUUAAUGCCAAAUUUGGUGGAAAUGAACAUGUUAAAAAAUUUCACCCAAUCUGUGGGCGAGUAGCUUUAAAUUCGGAAAUUUCCCAUUGAUUGGGACCAUUUUUUUUGGCACCAUGAUACUUUUCGUAUUUAUAGAAAACAUCAUAGAAAGCAAGGCUACCAGUUUUGUCUUCCAUUAACCUUUUGAAUCUCGAUUUAAAAAAAAAACAUAUUCGUCCAGGCGCUAAAUUAAGCAAAAUGAAACGUCUAUCAACUCAAAGUUGAUAGUUAUGAUACAUAUCAGUUAUAUAGUGUGAAGGUAUUUCAAUGUUUGUUUAUUCGAAUGUGUUGCGGGUUCUACACAAACACUUUAUCAAUUUGAUAAAAGUUUUAAUAUCGUGUUAUUUAUCGUGUCACCUUAUGGUUAAGUAUGACAUUUCACGACAGUUUAUUCACGAAAAUCUUCAAAAUAUUGUAUUUAUUUAUUGCAGUUUGAUAGCAUAUAAUAUGCUUCCAAAGGAUAUUUCUACAAUUUUUAUUGAACAAAACUAGAGAUAAUUUGCAACACCUGUUUUUUUCUUUAUUCUGUACACUACACCUGCUUGAGGGAAAUGUCAAAAUAAAAUUAAAGACAAAUUUCAAAAUUAUGUGACAUUAUUCCCUUAAGUACUGCAUAAAAUGCCAUACAAUUUUUUGUGCAUAGGAGUUACAACUAGAUUUAAGCCUAGUCACAAAUUUAGUGACCAGUAUAAGAAAUACUAUUGGUCUUGUAUCUGUUUUACAGACUUUAAAGACCUAUUCAAAAAUUAAUUGUUUUCACACGAAAUUUAAAAGAUUCAGACCUUUGAAAACUAUAGCGAAUGAAAUGCCAUAAAGCAUUUUACUCCGCCAGAAUAUUGUCUACGUUUUAUUUCAGAUUAAAAUGUCGUACUAACAAAAUAAUUUUCAAUUAUCAAUGACUUUUAUAAUUGUCAUUGUCGUUAAUGAAAAGUUAUUGAGCUAUCCAUGAGUAAUGCAUUAUCAUUUCCUCAUGCCAUAUGUCUAUUAUUUCAAGACAUAUCUCUAGUCAUUGUUAGUAUAUACUUGGGAGUUUUAUUUUAUAUAUAUAUAUAUAUUUUAUACAUUUAUUUUUCUAUAUUUUUAUGCAAAUACUCGUAUGACGCGGAUGACAUACUAUAUUACACAUUAUUUCUAGCACUAGUUUGUACAAAUGUGCUCAGUUUAGUAAAAUACUAGAGGAUUACUCAAUGAUUUACAUUGACUCCCGUAUCAACUUUCUGCAUUAUACAAAUGUUUUCUUCUUUUUAAAUGUAUAAUUGACAUUGAAAAAAAAUCUACUGUAUUCCAACUUUAACUUUUAAAUUAGAGAAAUAUUAUACUGUACUUACGCCACAUUUUUUUUAAAGCAGGUGGUGUUUUAGUGAUGGAUCUUUUAACAUAUUUGUCAAAAUAUAUCUCUUUGUUACCAAAAUUGCCGAAGUAUAUCACGUCUAAAUUGUUUUAAUUUAUACAGUUAAAAUCUCUUGUGGUUGCUUUUCAAUUAUAUAAUUUAUCUUUAACCUGCAUUCUUUUUGAAUGAUGUACUUUUUUCGAAGUAGAAAUGUAUCUCGAAUAGUUUUUUUCACACAGUCUUACUAAAACUGGCAUACUUUGAUGUAAGCAAUAAGUGUGAUUUGCAGCAAGGUGGAUUUAACAUAAGUUAUAAUUUUACCUUGAUGAUAAAUCUUAGCUAUUUCAUAUUAUCUUUAUACGAAGGUCAUUCAAUAUUUGAACAUUUGCCACAUAUUUUGAUACCUACCAAUAUGAUACGAAACUAAUAUUUCUGGCAUCAUAAUACUAGUAUUAACCCGUACCCUGCUAAAUUUCUAUAAUGAACGUAUCCAUCUCUUAGUUUUGGGCUGUUCCUUUAACUUUUAAAGGGGUGCUUACCCAAAAUAUAUUGACUGAAUGGCGAACAGUGCAGAUCAUGAUCUACACUUGUCGCAAAAGCAGAAUAAACCGUGUCCAGCAUGAUAAGGGUUAAGUAGUCAUAUAUUAAAAUGUCAGAUAAUACUGAAAGUAUGAUAACCACUUUAUCCAUCUUACCAAACGUUAGUUUUAAAACUGUGCAUUAUGAAAACGAAAUGUUUAUUUCAAGUAAAAGAACGAUUGAUAUAGAUUUAGAGGUGAAAAUCUUAAAAAAAGUAGGUUCAUUUAAGCAGAUUGGUUGGUUGUAAAUCGACAAUUGUCUCAAGUUCUUGAAUGACCAUCGUAUUAACAUGUUAGUUUCUUGUUUUGUUUGACAGUGUUAUAUUAUGUGCUUGCACGUUAAUGUUAUUAUGAUAUUAUACGUUGUUAAGCAACUAAGAAAAUAAACGACGAGAAAGAGCAA